GCUACAAGAAAGGAGAGUCCCUGGGGCGGGUUGCAGCUGGUUCGGGCAGACCGGUAAACAGUGGCUGCGGCAGCGGACACACCUCCGCGUGGGAGGCGGGGCCUCCGAUGGCCACGCCCGCUCACGUCAAGGGAGGAGACUAUCCUUAUUGGGAGGAAGUCUCUGGGUUCACCUCACACUAAAAGGUUGGAGAAAGUUAUGUUCCAUCUCCUAAGGCACUCUCUACGUGUAAGUCAUGGUAACCAAAUGGGAACACAGCCUCAUGAGCAUGUCCUGUCAAGUGUGGAUAUAGAACAGGUGCUCAACUAUUUAUUAAAUGACUUAAUGAAGCAAAACAGCUUACUUCCUCUUCAAGGAACACAUCAACGCCUUAGCUGUCACCACACUCUCUCCCUGAAAUACCUUUUUCACUUAUGCUUGUCAAAACUUAUCCAUCCUUGCUCUUCUUGAGGAAAUGGACAUUGUAAGUAGUGACUGGACAUGUUUCUUGUCCUGCUUCGUUAGCUAACAAAUGUACUGUGCAGUUGAUGGCCUUCUCUCAAGCAACGAUGGAAGACUGCAUGGUUACUUACUGCAUGCUGCUGCUGCUGCUGCUGCUAAGUUGCUUCAGUCGUGUCGGACUCUGCGACCCCAUAGACGGAAGCCUACCAGGCUCCCCCGUCCCUGGGAUUCUCCAGGCAAGAACACUGGAGUGG